rnacentral:rRNA from 1 species
CCUACGGGUGGCAGCAGUAGGGAAUAUUGCUCAAUGGGGGAAACCCUGAAGCAGCAACGCCGCGUGGAGGAUGAAGGUUUUCGGAUUGUAAACUCCUGUUGUUAGAGAAGAUAAUGACGGUAUCUAACGAAUAAGCACCGGCUAACUCCGUGCCAGCAGCCGCGGUAAUACGGAGGGUGCAAGCGUUACUCGGAAUCACUGGGCGUAAAGAGCGCGGAGGCGGGUGAGCAAGUCAGAUGUGAAAUCCUAUGGCUUAACCAUAGAACUGCAUUUGACACUGGUAUUCUAGAGUAUGGGAGAGGUAGGUGGAAUUCUUGGUGUAGGGGUAAAAUGCGUAGAGAUCAAGAGGAAUACUCAUGGCGAAGGCGACCUGCUAGAACAUAACUGACGCUGAUGCGCGAAAGCGUGGGGAGCAAACAGGAUUAGAUACCCCUGUAGUC